GGUUUAAGAAAAGGUUUAUGGUUUAGAGGAAAUAACACGGUUAAAGUUUUAGGUUUGAAAUUUAGAGUUUGUGGCGAAAUUGUCAGGGUUUAGGAAAAAUCAGGGUAGUUAGUUAUAAAAAAAAAUGUGCAGAUCUAAAUAUAUGUAUAUAAAAAAAAUAUGAAUUAAAAAAAAACAACGGCGUUGCUAGCGCAAAAUUGCGAUCAUCGCAACUGGAUCGGAUAACACAAAUGUCACGCCUCAUACACGUAUAUGUGAAAACGGCGUAUUGACACGAUCCGAUCCGAAAACAUAAUCAAAUUAUAACAUAAA
rnacentral:lncRNA from 1 species